rnacentral:misc_RNA from 1 species
UCGAGUAGACUUGGCCGUGCUGUUGCUGGCUCUUCGGGGCAUGUGCACGCUCGAGUGCUCUCACACAUCCAUCUUCACCCCUUUGUGCAUCAACGCGUGGGUCUCCUUUGAAAAGGGGGGGCCCACGUUUUUUCACACAAACCUCAAAGUGAUAUAGAAUGUACAUUUCUUUGUUUUGCGGUGACACGCGAAUCUAUA